rnacentral:lncRNA from 1 species
UUGCCCAUUUCUUAUGUGUUUAAAGACUAAUUAUAAGAAUAAAGAUUUAGUGAUCAAUGCAGAAUUCUAAUUUAAUUGUUGAGUAUUAGAAUGCAUUUUCUCCCCCUCUUCUAACUUAGAAACUGAAUUUUUUUUUUUUUUCAUUUUUUUCCUACCUGGCAAAAGCUAAUUUAAUCCAACUGGAUUGCACAUUCGAAAUGUACAGAAUUUUGGUCCGAUUUACCGAGUAUCACUCCCUGGAUAUAGCUCAAUUUUCCCUCACAGGACUGACAGAUGCCUAAAUGCAAGAGAUUGUUCUUGUCAAGGGAGGCACUGACACAAAUUCAGUUGUGUGGGUUGUUGGCUCUGUCUGAUGUUGUCCCUUCUAAUGCUACAGAACAAAUCACCUUGCACAAGGAUCUGGGAAUCUCAUUGCUGCUCUCUUUGUUCGGGCCCAGAGGUUCCUCUUCUGCUGCACUUCUGGAGUUAGUCCUGUUGCACUGGUGCUGUUCAGGAGAAGGUGAACUGACAGUAACUCUGCUUUGUCUCUCUUGUGACCACACCAAAACCCUGAGGACUGGGGCUGAUCAUGCUGAGAUUUGGGCAGCACCUCAUCAAGCCCUCGGUGGUGUUCCUGAGGACGGAGCUGUGCUUUGCCCUGGUGAACCGCAGGCCGGUGGUGCCAGGACGUAUCCUUUCCACAGCCGAUCCUGGGAAAAGCAGCACACGCUCGGGGAGCUUGGAAGGCCAGGUAGGAUGGAAUAAUAUUCCUGGUUUAUUCCAAAAACCAGGCAGUGAUGCUUGAUCAGAAGAUGCUUG